rnacentral:rRNA from 1 species
GAUGAACGCUGGCGGCGUGCCUAAUACAUGCAAGUCGAGCGAACGGACGAGAAGCUUGCUUCUCUGAUGUUAUCGGCGGACGGGUGAGUAACACGUGGAUAACCUACCUAUAAGACUGGGAUAACUUCGGGAAACCGGAGCUACUACCGGAUAAUAUUUUGAACCUCAUUGGUCAAAAGUGAAAGACGGUCUUGCUGUCACUUAUAGAUUGAUCCGCCCUGCAUUAGCUAGUUGGUAAGGUAACGGCUUACCAAGGCAACGAUGCAUAGCCGACCUGAGAGGGUGAUCGGCCACACGGGAACUGAGAAACGGUCCAGACUCCGACGGGAGGCAGCAGUAGGGAAUCUUACGCAAUGGGGGAAAGCCUGACAGAGCAAAGCCGCGUGAGUGAUGAAGGUCUUCGGAUCGUAAAGCUAUGUUGUUAGGGAGGAACAAAUGUGUAAGUAACUGUGAACAUAUUGACGGUACCUAAUCAGAAAGCCACGGCUAACUACGUG